rnacentral:tRNA from 1 species
GUCCCGGUAGCUCAACUGGACAGAGUAUCUGCCUUCGAAGCAGAGGGUUAGAGGUUCGAGUCCUCUCCGGGACA